rnacentral:lncRNA from 10 species
UUUAUAUUGUACCAAAUAGGUAGUUUUUUCAUCCCUCAUCCACCUCCCACUCUCUGCUUCUGAGUCUCCAAAGUCCAUUACAUCACUCUGUAUGCCUUUGCAUACGCAUAGCUUAACUCCCACUUAUAAGUGAAAAAUAAUAGUAUUUUAUUUUCCAUUCUUGAGUUAUUUCACUUAAAAUAAUGGCCUCAUAUCCCUUGCCCUGAAAUUAACAGCCAGCAGGGGUGUCCUCAGUAUCAAAACAAGUCGACCACACAAAGCCGUCAAAGACUCCAGGAACCCAGGUCCAUGGGGUGCAGCCCUGCAAGGUGGAAAAGCUGACCAAGUCUUCCUUCCAGCCAAAUCUGGAAGAAAGGCCCCUUGCCUGGAGCAGUGUUCCUGGUACCCAGGCCUCUGUGGGCAUCCCUCAGCACAAAGACCCUCUCCAAGGGGCAUGGGCCGGCCCUUCCAGGACCACCAGCCCAGCUCCAGAAGCCCAUGGGUCAUCCCCACCCUCACCUGACUGAGCUGUCCCUGAGGCUAAGGCCCAGCAGCAUGAAGAGACUUCCACAGAAACCAGGGCAAUAGGCUGCUCUCUGGCGGCACUGGGGGCUCAGGGUCUGGCUAGCCUGUCCCUGGCUCAAGUCACAUGCCUGGAAAUUAGGGUUUUCUCCUCUGCUCUUAGCAUCUCCUGGGUAAACCAAUAAUUACCCUCCUUCAUGUCUCAAAAUUCACAUCCAUGUAAAAGGCUCUGGUGAGGGUGACAUUUCCAGGAAGCCACAGCCCAUGUCAACCCCCUGCAAAGCUGUGACCUUGUCCGCGGGCAGGUGAGGCGGCGGAGUUCUCCCAAAAGCCGGUGAACUGGCGCUCUGGCUGGAGAGCGCGGAGGGCGGCAGCACAAUGGACAGCGUCUGGGACCUCAGGCCAGUUCCACAGCAGCCUAGGAAAGCAGGCGGCUCCUGUGCUGGAGGAGGCGUGAUGCUCUGGAGGGAAACCGAGCUGAGCAGCGAGAGGUGGGGUGAGGCUGAGACCCGCCCGAUUUAGGCAAAGAUGAGGUGCACUUCGCAGCGUCACACUCUUCUCACUGCCCAGCCCCGACUUGCCCCUUAAGUCCCUCUCUGGACUCACUCCCCUUAGCCAGGGAUGGCACAGAAUCAGUGGCCAGCAUAGGUUUGGAAGCAGAGAGGUCCACACGGCUUGCGCCUCCCUCCGGGACUGCUCACCACCCCGCAGCCCGGCGCUUGCUGGGACUGUAGGCCGGUAGCCCUGCGACCAACAGCCGAAAGCGGUUAAGAAACUACUCCCAGAAUGCCUGGCGAGGCGCGCACCACGCGGCCCCUUCCUCCAGGCAUUCGCACCACCCCCCACUCCCGUUGCAUGCUGGGAUUGUAGUUGAUCGCCUGCGAUCAACGGCCGGAAGCGGCUAAAACUACUCCUGCCUGCAUACCCCGCAGGAGCAAACCGCGCCAUGUCUCCCUCCAGGGAUCCGCACCGCUCACAAUCCUGUUUAGUGCUGGGAUUGUAGUCCUGCGAGCCUACGACUAAUAGCUGGGUGCGGAUAAGAGACUACAGCUCCCCCCAUUCCCAGCAAAGGUCCCUCCUCCACCGAGCUCCUCCAGGCUUCCAGUGCAGUUCCGCCGUGCGGAGGGAAGCUUGGCUGUUCACAAACCUCUCCUGCCCGCGAGGAGACAGCUUGGCCAGGGCGGCUGAUCUCACCUUGUCAUUGUGACACGGUGUCUCCCCAACGUGCUGGCUUCAUGACUUGUGCCCAGAGUUUGAUUUUCCACAGACCAGGUAGAGGCCAAGAGCCUCUCACAGACUCUGCAGCAGGGUUGCUAUGAUUAACUCUUAAGUACUCCACAACUACACGCUUUUGAAACUGGCGUUGGCAUAGCGUUAGUUCUGUGCAGGGCGGACGCAGCAGGACAGAAUCUCCCUGGGCAUCUUUUCGGAGCAUCAAUUUUACUGCAAAAUUUUGAAAAAACAAAUUUAAUUGAUUUCCAAGGUUUGUCAAGGAGGACAGAAACUCAGAGCACCCUGCACUUGGGGAUCGGCACUAGGAGCUGCUCUCUGGAUGGGGAGAUGGGAGCUAGCAGCUCACAAUGGGGUCACAAGACAGGAGUGUUAUUGGGAGAAUCCUGUUUUGUUGACAAAUACUGAGAUCAUCCAACUCACCAGGCAAAGUUGACUUGUGUAAGUGAUCUUCAGAUAUGAAAAGUGUGGAACCCAGCUGCUCCUCCUCAGAUAGGCGACAUGACAAUUGUAGGCCUGGAGGGAGAUGAGUUGACAACAUCCCUUCCCUAUAACCACUUGUUGGAUCUGAUCUCACAUACACAGACUCACUCCAAAGACUGACCUGGGUGUCUGCUUCUCAGCUUCAUUAACAGUGGGUGCUCACAAGUCUAGUGGAGAGAAUGUCUGAGAAGAGGAGGACCUUGACUGCUCCUGAACCGGAGACCUCAGAACCAUGGUGCUCUCCUGUCCAGGCUGAACACUAAUGCUCUUGAGAGUCACAUUGAAGAAAGCCAACAUUUUUAAAUCUAAUGGAUACAUUCAUUUUGUGGUAUGUGAUGUUUAGAAAGAGGGAGCUAAAGUUAGUGGUCAUGAGCUAAAUACCCUGUGAGUAGUAACAGGAUCUUCUACACUGUAGCUGCUUCCAGUGUGAGCCAGACAAAUGUACUGAAUAUAGGCCUCAGAGGUGAUCCCACCACCUUCACAGCAAUGGUCCUUCCCCAGGAGCUUCCCCUGAGAAACGGGCCAUCCAGACCAUACUGCUGCUGAAUAAUGUCUCAUUGGAAAUCUCAACAUUCUUCAUUUAGAACACCACCGCCAAUAUCUACCAUAUGCCGGGAUUAUUGUGCAGGUAAAAUUGAUGCUCCGAAAAGAUGCCCAGGGAGAUUCUGUCCUGCUGCGUCCGCCCUGCACAGAACUAACGCUAUGCCAACGCCAGUUUCAAAAGCGUGUAGUUGUGGAGUACUUAAGAGUUAAUCUAAAAAAGCGAAUAGAAAAAUG